GCUAGGAUAGCUCAGUUGGUAGAGCCUGAGACUCUUAAUCUCAGAGUUGUGGAUUCAAGCCCCAUGUUGGGCC